AUGCCUGGCGUCUACUCUCCUAAGAAGUGUACUUUCUUUCUUCUUUUUUUUUUUUUUUCAUUUAAGAUGUAUUUAUUUAUUUCAAAGAGUUACAGGGUGAGAGGAAGAGACAGGGGGAGAUCUUCCAUCCACUGGUUCAUUCCCCAGAUGGUCACAAUGGCCGGGGCUGGGCCAGGCCAGUCAGGAGCCAGGUCUCUCAUGUGGAUGGCAGGGACCCAAGCAUUAGCAGGGAGCUGGACUGCAAGUGGAGCAGCUGGGACUCAAACUGGCGCUCAUACGGGAUGCCAGCGCUGCAAACCGUGGCCUAACCCAAAAAGUGCACUUUCUCUUCUUCUGCAAACCUUUGCUGUUGUUAUUAUGUGCGCUGCGUCUGACGCUCAAAAGAACCUACACCUGGUCUUCGUCUUCCCACUGCACCAACCCCUGCACUGCACCGAGUUUAUGUGGGGCCACCAGGACGGGCCCUGCAGCUCACGCUCAGCUCAGCCUCAUCCGGGCUGGAGCUCAGGGAAGCCACCCAGCUUACGUAGGGCACCAGGACAGCCCUGCAGCUCACGCUCAGCACAGCCUCAGCCGGGCUGGAGCUCAGGGAAGCGGUACAGGCGAUGCGGCUGCCUGCGACCCUUCUGCCUUGUCCCCCACGGAGCUCAGCACAACGCAACAAGCCCACUGGGCAGAGUCACAGCUCACAGACACAGACCCAGUGCUCCCCUCUCCAGCCGGGCAGGGAGCCCUCGCUCCUGCAACCACACGGGGUCUCCUUCCUCGAACCCCCCACCUUUACCUGCAGCCCGUGUGACCACAUCCCCAGGAACAGGCACGGGAAGCUGCUCCCCGCCGGGCCAGGCCCUUGUGCCGCCACCCAGCUGCAGGGCUCUCUGGCACGUCCUCUGCCACUCACUUCCCCACCUUGAGCACUUUCAGAACUGCAGCCCCACCCACCCAUUCUCCUCCUGUAAACCUGCCUGUUCUGGCUGUGUUCCCCCUGUGUGCUUACCGGAGUGCCCACCCAGCCACGCCCACUGGUGCCACGUUCCCAGGAUUCCUCUCACCUCAGACUCCUGCAGCAGGCCCUUGCCCCAGGGAGACCUCCCCAAGACAGGCUUGGGGACUUUCGCUCGUCCUCCAUUGAAUAAAGUGGGAGCAGACUGCUGCCCACUGCACCCAACAUCCACUUGGCCUCCUGGGUUCUUUCCACAUGGAGUCCAGCGGCACUCACUGACCCACGCGUGA
rnacentral:lncRNA from 1 species